GACGAACGCUGGCGGCGUGCCUAACACAUGCAAGUCGAGCGAACAGACGAGGUCCUUGCUCGUCUGACGUUAUCAGCGGAGGGGUGAUGAACACGUGGUUAGCAUACCUCCCCGACCGGGAUAAUAUCGGCAAACCGGAGCUACUACCGGAUGAUAUAUUGAAUCUGAUGGUUCAAUCGUGAGAGAAGGUUUUGCUGUCGGUUAUAGAUGGACCCGCGGCGGAUCAGCUAGUUGGUAAGGUAACGGCUUACCAAGGCGGCGACGGGUAGCCGGCCUGAGGGGGUGGUCGGCCACACGGGAAGUGAGGCGCGGCCCAGACUCCUACGGGGGGAAGCAGCAGUGAAUCUUACGCGAUGGGCGAAAGCCGGAUGGUGCAACGCCGCGGGAGGGAUGAAGGUGUUCGGAUCGUAGAGCUCUGUUAUUAGUAGAGAAGAAAUGUGUAAGUAACUAUGCACGUCUUGACGGUACCUGGACAAAAAGCCACGGCUAACUACGUG
rnacentral:rRNA from 1 species